rnacentral:rRNA from 1 species
GACGAACGCUGGCGGCGUGCCUAAUACAUGCAAGUAGAACGCUGAAGAGAGGAGCUUGCUCUUCUUGGAUGAGUUGCGAACGGGUGAGUAACGCGUAGGUAACCUGCCUGGUAGCGGGGGAUAACUAUUGGAAACGAUAGCUAAUACCGCAUAAAAUGGAUUAUCGCAUGAUAAUCCAUUGAAAGGUGCAAAUGCAUCACUACCGGAUGGACCUGCGUUGUAUUAGCUAGUUGGUGGGGUAACGGCUCACCAAGGCGACGAUACAUAGCCGACCUGAGAGGGUGAUCGGCCACACUGGGACUGAGACACGGCCCAGACUCCUACGGGAGGCAGCAGUAGGGAAUCUUCGGCAAUGGACGGAAGUCUGACCGAGCAACGCCGCGUGAGUGAAGAAGGUUUUCGGAUCGUAAAGCUCUGUUGUAAGAGAAGAACGAGUGUGAGAGUGGAAAGUUCACACUGUGACGGUAUCUUACCAGAAAGGGACGGCUAACUACGU